rnacentral:lncRNA from 1 species
GCGGGAAUCAAGGUAAUCUAUUGUGCACAGCGGUUACUUAAAUUAUACAUAAAUUAAAGUGAGGCUUAUACCUCAAACUACGAAGUUAUAAUCAGAAAAUAUCAUUACAAACUAGCGAUUUUGUAUAUAUAUGUUCGUCUAUGCCUUGCAUUUUUAUGUGUAAUGACAUAAUAGUUGUUAAUAGCUUUGGCAAAAGUGAUCAUUUGGGGUUUAUUAUAUUAGAAGUCAAAUAGCAAACUGAUAAAAAAAAAACAUCUAAAUUUCGGUAAACACAAGCAGAACAAGACAAGAUAGCGUGUGUGUAAAUGGAGGUGGCCUUUUGAACAGAGUGGAAUAGAGAGAACACUGAAAUAAAAAAUAGAGUAGGUGAGGAAAAUGAGCCAGACAAAAUAAUACUUAAGUAUAUUAUUUUAACUUUGAGGAGAAAAAACAAGUCUGAAACCUGACACAUACAUCAAUAGACCUUUCCUUCUUGAAGUAAGAAAUGGAGGAAAAUUGA